rnacentral:rRNA from 1 species
AUUGAACGCUGGCGGCAGGCCUAACACAUGCAAGUCGAACGGUAACAGGAAGCAGCUUGCUGCUUCGCUGACGAGUGGCGGACGGGUGAGUAAUGUCUGGGAAGCUGCCUGAUGGAGGGGGAUAACUACUGGAAACGGUAGCUAGUACCGCAUAAUGUCGCAAGACCAAAGAGGGGGACCUUCGGGCCUCUUGCCAUCGGAUGUGCCCAGAUGGGAUUAGCUUGUUGGUGGGGUAACGGCUCACCAAGGCGACGAUCCCUAGCUAGUCUGAGAGGAUGACCAGCCACACUGGAACUGAGACACGGUCCAGACUCCUACGGGAGGCAGCAGUGGGGAAUAUUGCACAAUGGGCGCAAGCCUGAUGCAGCCAUGCCGCGUGUAUGAAGAAGGCCUUCGGGUUGUAAAGUACUUUCAGCGGGGAGGAAGGGAGUAAAGUUAAUACCUUUGCUCAUUGACGUUACCCGCAGAAGAAGCACCGGCUAACUCCGUG